AACAUAGAAGUAAAUAAUUACAUUUAGUUUCGACCUAAUAAUAAGGUUAAUAAACCUCAUGUUU
rnacentral:tRNA from 1 species